rnacentral:pre_miRNA from 1 species
UCUGGUCCCCUGCUUCGUCCUCUGUCCAGAUGUUAAGAGGAUGACGGUGGGGCUGGUGA